UUUGCUCCUUCUGAAGCCUCUAUAUAUGAAGGGUUAUUUAUUGUGGCACUAGCACUUGCUAAAACUUAAUGGGAAAAAAAUAUUGUAAGCAUCACCAUGGUAUUUGUCACAGUUGCAAGUAAUAAUUUUGUUUCCAAAAUCUGUCUGCUCAUUCUUCUUCUUUUUCCUCCCCCCCCCCUUUUUUUUUUCUUCAGAAAAGAUGCCCUGCUGAUAUGAAAAUUGCAUAUGCUGCACUUGGAUGGACAGAUUAAAAACACCCAGAACCAAGCUUAUUCAUGGAGGAACCAGGUGAAAUUUCCUAUUCAGGUAUGUGCCGCAUGGUGUAUUGAGGGUAGAUACAAACUCUGCUCAUGCUCUGAGGUGACCAAAAUCUGUAUGACCAGAGGAGUGUGCUGCAGCAUACUGGCAGUGAGCACCAGCUGGAGGCUCCUCUGGAUCCAUGCAUCCCACCUGGAAUUCAGGCACAGCUCACACAAUGAUGUGAUGGGCAGCAGGGCUGUAGCUAUGAUUAAAGACUGAUUGCUAACCCAGUUCCUGUCUGCAGGAUUAGGUAAGUCAGCAUGGGCUGCAAAAACGAGCAUUUUGCCAUGAGUCCCCUUGGCAUGGCCUGAUGAUGUCUGGUGGUCCUCUGCAACAGCCGUCAGGCAGAGGUCAGAUCCAAACUUCUUCACAUCCUGGCAGCCUGGAUCGCGGGCUGAUUUACCUUCUCCUGUUUGCAGGAGGUUUAUGUAGAUAGAUCCCAAGGGACAAGCUACAUGCUCUUCUCUGUCCUCAGGCACAUUCCUGAAAGUCCCCUGUACAUCCACCUGGGCCACCUUGCCAUCGGGACUGGGACUGCUUGUCACACAGCAACAGACACCUUUCCUCCGAGGGGUUUUGAGUGCUUCUUUGGAGACAACUCCAAUCCUGAGAUGCUGCAAUGACCACAAGGCUUUCUUUAAAAAAAACAAACAACACACAUUACCUAAUCAUAACUGUGAAGGAAAGAAGGUA
rnacentral:lncRNA from 1 species